rnacentral:misc_RNA from 1 species
AAUAUUCUUAAAAUCCAUGAAGUCAUGGCCACCAGGACCAAAAUCUACCUAGUCAUGGACCUUGCCUUGGGUGGCGAGCUCUUCUCCAAGGUUCUCCACCGUGGUAAACUCAAGGAAUCCAAGGCUCGCCGCUACUUUCAACAGCUCGUGUCGGCUCUUCAUUUUUGCCACCAGAACGGCGUCGCUCACCGCGAUGUCAAGCCGCAAAAUCUCCUCCUCGACGAGAAUGGUAAUCUAAAAGUAUCUGAUUUCGGUCUCUCGGCCUUGGCCAAGGCGCAGAAUGGCGAUGUCCUUCAGACGGCUUGUGGGACCCCAGCUUUCACUGCUCCAGAGGUGAUGGCGCGGCGGGGAUACGACGGUGCGAAGGCGGAUGCGUGGUCUUGCGGAGUAAUUCUGUUCUUUCUACUAUCAGCACAGCUACCCUUCGAUGAUACGAAUCUUGCAGCCAUGUACAAGAAAAUUCAUCGAAGAGAAUAUCAAAUACCUUCUUCUAUCUCAAAACCAGCUAAAUCUAUUAUAACUCAGCUUCUUGACCCAAAUCCCACGACAAGAAUGAGCAUAGUAGGACUAAUGAAUCAUUCUUGGUUCCUGAAGAAUUAUGAAUUACCAACUCAAAGUAGCAUGUUCGAAUUGGAACACACAAAAUAUUGUAAAUGUGAUACUAGAAGUGUUAAUGCGUUUGAUAUAAUAUCUUUAUCUUCGGGGUUGGAUCUAUCCGGCCUUUUUGAGGUUAAAGGUAGAAGAGAGAAGAGAUUUACUUCAAGGGAGACGGUGGAGAGAAUAGCGGAGAGACUGAGAGAGGUUGGUGGGAGAUUAGGAUAUAGAGUUGAGGAAGGAAAGGGUGGGGCAAUUGGGUUGGGAAAAGGAAGGGUCGUUUUGAUGUUGGAGAUGUUGGAAAUAUCAGAGAACUUAUUGGUGGUGGAAGUGAAGGUGGUGGGGGGUGAUGGGGUGGAAUUUGAGGAGGUUCAGUGGGGGAAAUUGAAGGAUGGGCUUCAAGAUGUUGUUCUUCAAUGGCAUAAUGAUGCUAUGUGAAAAGAGGAGGAUGUAUGUAUUUUCCUGAAAGCAUAUGGGAGGAUGCUCUGAUGGAAAAUGGUUGAACGCUGGCUGAUCAUUGUACGUGGGACAAUUCUGUAGUUUCAGCCUAGAUCUUUAGUGUUAAUUAUAAUAGCUAGAUUGGAUCGUGAUCCUUCUUAUUCUAAGCUUGUAAAUGCAGUAUUAAUUUAGUUUGAUUGAGAUUUGAUUUUCGUCUGUGUUCUUUGAUUUGGCAUGACACAAAAUCACAACCUAUGUAUACAUGACUGCAAACUCAUGUUCAGUAACUGAAUAAGCUAUGUUUGACAUCAAUUUUUUUUUUUAAAAUCAAAAAUUG